CUCAUACCAAGUUGCCUGAUUUGAGCUUCAAGGAGUCAAAGAAUGCCCCAUAAUUUCCGGGAAUCACUGACUAUCUGACCAGGAAGAAGAGGACUUGUCAGAUAAUUUGACAGACUUGGUGGAAAUAUACUGUUUUGGAACGUGCUCUGAAUUGUCCCAAAAGGUUACUCAAAGAGAAAUUGACUCUUGUCUUACAGCAAGUCCCUGACAGACCUGUGACAGCUAAGAGAGAUGCCUUAAUAAAAGCUUGUUCCAAUAGGAGAAAGGAUUACAUAUUUAUUAAGUGCCUGCUAUGCACCUGGAACUAUAUCUUCAAAACCGAUUCUUCAAUUCUUUCAAAAGCAUGUCAUCUACAGAAUGGCUUUUAUGGACUAAUAGAAUCUCAGAGUUGGAAGUUCAUCUAGUUAACCUAUACCUGAGAAGGAAUCCCCUCUAUGACAUUCCCGAGAAACGGGCACCCAAGUUUCCACUAGAAGGCCUGGAGAACUUGCUACUUUCAUCUUCUUUUGAAAAAGACCACUGACAUCAUGGGGUGAUGUCUCGAC